GGCUGCUGGGGCGGGGUGGGGAGAGGUCAGCUGGCUAGGGGAGUCCAUCCACAGCCCUCCAGCAUGCCUUCUGGGAAAGGACGAGGAGUACCCGCGAUCCCCUUAGCCCGUGGCUUUACAUAUCCCCAUCCUAGGACAGGACACAUGUUCAUCUGUACAAGUGAGAGAAGAGCAUGAGCACCAAGGAAGACUUUAUUGUUUAUAAAUAAGAGAGCGAGCGAGAGAGAAACAGCAUGAGAGGGGAGAGGGUCAGAGGGAGAAGCAGGCUCCCCGCCGAGCCAGGAGCCCGAUGUGGGACUCGAUCCCAGGACCCUGGGAUCAUGACCUGAGCCGAAGGCAGACGCUCAACCAUCUGAGCCACCCAGGCGCCCGUCGAAAGGAAUGAAAUUCUGACACAUGGUACAACAUGGAAGAAUCUUGAGGACAUUAUGCUAAGUGAAAUAAGCCAGGUUCGUGGAGGCGAGGAUGUCCAAAAUCAAGGUGCCAGCACACGUGGUGUCUGGUGAGGUCCUACUUUCUGGCUUGUAGACAGCUGCCUUCUUGCUGUAUCCUCGCGUGGCUAAGAGAAAAAUUGUCUUUCUCCUGUCUCUUCUCAUAAGAACACAAAUCCCGUUCAUGAGGGCUCCAGCCUCAGGACCGAAUUACCUCCCAAAAGACCCACUUCCAAAUGCCCUGAUAGUGGGGAUUUAGGCUUCAGCAUAUGAAUUUGGGGGACACAAACAUUCAGCCCAUAGCAAACCACAAUUGAAAAAUUAGAAUAUAUUUAUCAGAUUAAUAAAAAUUGUCAUUCUUGAAAUGUCUUUCUGUAGAGUUCCAGGAGUGUAGACUUUGUCCUCAAUGAUACGAGGGGAUGUGAACUAACUGAAGCAAGUGAUAUUUUGCCAGAAGUGUAGGAGGGACCAGUUCUAGAAGACAAUCAGAAAUGUCAAAGAGCAAUUCCUGGGUAGAAAGAAAAAGAGAAUGUCUAUAACUGAGAAGGUGACCCUAAUGAGGUGUCUAUUCCUCCAGAGACUCAGAUUCCUUUAUUUACAUCCUUCUAGAAGCUCAGGGGGAGAGUGUGUGUUUCCCAGCUUGAACAGAACCCUUCCUACUUCUGUUAAAGCAAGCAUUCAUACAAUGCACUCCAAAACAAAAUAGAACUAUAGUUAAGCAACAAAAAAACAAAAACAAAAACAAACAAAAAAACAGUUUAAAAAUACAUGCGUGUUUGAAGUAAUUACGAAGAAUUUCAAAAGCUGAAUAAAAGAGAAAAGCAACCCAAGAUCAGAACAAAGCCUUUGGGAGCUCUAACAGGAAAAUAUGUGUAUCAUUGUUAAGUGCCAAAGUAAAUACAGCACACAAACCCAAAGCUUAUCUGUGUGGUUUCCAUAGUGUCAAUAUAUAUGCAAAGCUGGUCUGACGCACUGAGACCCAUCAAAGGUCAUGGAAGUAAAAACAAAAGUCAAACUGUCUAUGUGAACCUUUGGCAAGCGAGUGCCAGGGUUCCUGGACAUUUUCUCAUUUCUAGAGAAGUGAGCGAGAGGUGGCAGUAAUGUUCUUUUCCUUUCUCUCUCUCUCAAUCUCUCUUUCUCUCUGUCACCCCCCUCCCUCUUUUCCUCCUUUCCGUUCUCCCUCCCUCAUGAAUUAAAGCAUUAUUUUCCUUGAGUCCCAGGAAAUGAAAUUCAAAUUUACAGUGAAAGGUUACUAAUGAAAGAGAUGAUCCAUCUUUUUAAUAUAUAUGUAUUUUCAUGUAUAAUUGCACUAUAGUUAAAAUGAGAGCUAGUUUCUUUAAAAUUGACCUGUUUUUUUUGGGGGGGGGGAAUAAAUACGCACUCUUUUCAAUUUUCCUUCUGCUUGUCAAAUCAAAAUAGCUUCAGAUAAAUGAAUAACACAAGAAUGUCCGCCGUAGCCACGCAGAAUCAGGAUGAGAGGAAGAGCACAUCAUGCAUUUUUCUUUGUCGUGCUACAGUUUAGGGGCACAGAUUAGGAGGCUAUUGAAAUGUUAGGUGGAUGUGGGUGACAAAUUAUAUUCGUUGAAAAAGUAGCUACACUCAGUGGGAUGAAUUUGCUUUGGUAUUUAGAAGUUUAAAUAGCAGCUGUGGACUGAGGAUAGUUUUUGGUUUGGUUUUGGGUUUUGCUUUUGUUUUUUUACUUUUUUUAAGAGACCGUAGGGAUUUACUGCUUGCUUAAAGGUCAUGAUUUAUUUAUUUAUUUAUUUACUUAUUUAUUUUUAGGUAGGCUCUAUGCCCAAUGUGGGGCUUGAACUCACAACCCCGAGAUCAAGAGUCGCAUGCUCUACCGACUGAGCCAGCCAGGCUCCCCUGGUUUUUUGGUUUGUUUUUGUUUUUGUUUUUGUUUUUCUCGAGUAGAAAAGUAUGGAAAUGAAGCAGUGAGUUUAUUCUGUAAUCUUUUCUUAAAUUAUGACUAUAUGCUGUGCACUCUGCCAGGUACAGUUGUGAGUUAUUUGAAGUUCACAUCUGUUGAGUAAUUUCCCCAAGGUCUUGCUGCUAAUCAAUAACAGAAUAUAGACUUUGUAGUUCAAAAGUCCAUGCUUUUAGCUCCUAUCCUACGUUACCUUUUAAUGCCAUUUGUUAACAGGGCAGUGUUCUGCAUCGUGCGUCCCUGUAUCUGGACUUCUCCCUCACACCUGACUCUCGGACCCUAUGUGUAAGGAGGGUUCCCAGCACUGGUGACUUCCUGACUACUACCACUACAGCUAAUAGUUCUGCUCCUAUUAAAUACUACUAAUAAUAACGAUGAUAAUUGAUAAUUGAUAGUGUUCUCCCAGUACUUACUAUAUGACUGAAACUCUGCCAAGAACUUUGUGAGAAGAAAAGAACUUUGUGAGCUUUAUUUCAAUUAAUAUUUUCAGUGGUUCUUGAAGGGAUAUGCUCUGGAAUAGACUCCUCUGGGGUUAGAUCUUAGUCCCUUUAUUUAUUAGCUGUGUGACCAUGGACAAGUUAUUUAACUUUCCUGCCUCUUCACUUCCGCAUCUGUAAGAUGGAAAUAAUAAAAAUAUCUAAGAGAGCUGUUGGGAAAAUUAAGCAAUAUAGAGAAAUAGCCAGUAUACUUAAUCCAUACUGACUACAAAUUAUUGGUAUUAAUACAAAUACUAUUAAUAAUUUCAUCCAUCUGUAAAAACCCUGCCAUGUUUAUAUAGCCCAGCUAUGAGGCCUCUUGUCUUCGUGUCCCCCUUUUUUAAAAAAUUCCAGUUCCCUGCCUAGAACUGAAACCUACUAUGGACACUUGUCCAAUGGCUGGAUCUUUAGUACUCUGUGCUCUGUUCCUGGGAACUGGAUCUUGUCCCCCACAUCAUCAACUGCUGGCUGGGAUGCUACUUCCCACUCACUUCCACUCACUUCCAAUGCAGCCAGGAUGAGCUAUCACCUGAUUUUUAAUAUCUCCAUUGCUACCAUAUCCCAGGAAAAUUAGACCCCCUUAGCUCUGUCUUUGAUCCAGGCUCUAGUCCAACAUGAUUCUUUACUAACUCCAGUUUAAACUGCUGAGUGUCUCCUGUCUUGCUCAAUGCUGCUUCUUGCUCUUCCCUGCUAGCUAUCUUUAAAAUUAUAGUACCCCUUGAGGUCAAACUCACCUAAGAUUCAGCAUGUAGUAUUAUAGUUAUAGAGGAGUCAACAAUGAAAAUACACAGUCCUGUCCUGAAAGAACUUAUGAUCCUUAUAAAAUAGAAAAAAAUAGAAGACAUAGCUUAUAUGCCCCCUUGGAUGCCACAGGCCUUGCCUGCCCUGCAUUCCAGGCCAUCAGCUCCUCCAUGAAAACUUCUAUGGGAUACCCACUCUAUGUCUCACAUGAUUCUCCUGUGCAGAGUGGACUAAUUGCUUGUCCAAGAAUAUUGGCCUUUCACUUUGGUUACUACUGUGUAGCCAGGUAACCAGCCGUAUGUCCAGAGUCUCUGGCUGCUUCUCUCAUUUAUGGGCUUAGAUGAAACACUUCAUCACGGGGCAUGGGAUUUGGCUUCCUUAUCAGUCAGAUGCUAUAUCCAGAAGUAUAGGAUCCUAAACCAGUGGAAGCCGGGAGACCAGAGGGAGCCAAAUUGAUCAAUUCUUUCUCCUCUUUCCUUCCCAUCCAUUCUCAGGCACAGUUUCCCAGUGUGGCAGAACAGGUAAAACUUGUGAGUGAUUGUCUCAGUCUCUCCAUGGCUUAUUAUGAAGUAGUGACAAGCGUGGUGAUCUUGUGUUACUUACCCUUUUCACACUUACCUUCUUUCUCUCUCACUCUCACUACGCUGGGAUUGUACCUCCCAUACAAAGUUAAUCACUUAAUUCAUGCAUCAGGCUCUGCUUUUGAGGAAUAAAUGGACCCCAGAGCUCCAAAAUUUGAGACUCUUGAGCCAAAGAAUGAAAGGAGAGACAUUAAGCCUAAAAGAAGAAAAGACAUAGAAUAAGCAGGGUUCUUGGUGUUCUUUCUGAUACCUCAUCAUCUUUCUCUAACACAAAUCUCUCUCACUACAAAUUCUUCCUCCCCCAAUACACACCACACCCUACUAUAACUAAAAUUGUUUUGCCUUUAGGGUUAACAUUUAACUCAGCAUUUCCCUUCCACUAAAUGUUUUGCCUAAAAGGAAAAAAAAUCCCUUUAACUGUUGAUAAAUCCUUUCAUUCCACAAUUAGAGAUAAGAAACUUAAAAAUACAAAUAUCUGAAUCAGUCUUAGCUAGAAAAGAUGAUAUCACAUUCAUUCCUGUUUUGAUGGGGGAGGAGAAUUGCAGGGCAAAAAGGCAGUGGGCCCUUGGAAGGGGACAGAGCAGCCUGGAGGCAGGACAGAUGACCUUAUCCAAUUAUGCAAUUCAUUCACGGCUCUGCACUGCUCAUCUUCAUCUGAGAAUAAGCAAAGGAAAGCCGGGCAUAGCAGUCCUGUGGGGACGUACAUAGGCAGACUAUAAUGGAAACUAUGAUCAGAUAAUAAGCUUAAGCAGAGAUCUAAUCCAUGAUAGAAUAUUUAUUAAAAAUGGACAGAAUUCUAUAUGGAAUGUCAACUGGAUUAAAUAAGGGAAUUGUAACUCUGGGUAUUAUGGAACUGAAUGAGCAUUAUAGUUCAAAUUUUGUUGCAGUGAAUGUUAUUUCCUUUAUUGAAGAAAAUCUAAAUCGAAUUUUGGGGUGAUAGGCCGUCCAUUUAAAAUCAAGUUUGUUACACUUUAUCAGGAUAGGAUCUUAAAGUUCAUUGUAUAAGGUGUCGUCCAUAGGGGUGUGAAAUACUACAGAGGAAGAUCAAUAAGAACUGGCGAUGUUUGAGGUAAAAAAUUACAGUCCUAUGCAAUUCCCCAGCAUGGCUUUUAAGAUCAAGUUCUCCAUAUGUACCACAAAAUAUUACUUUCCUCACUUUGUUGAGUGCCCUUGUUUGCCUUUGAUGUUUCAGUUAUGUCACCAUUUUGAACAAGGUCAUCAGUGUAUUAGUGUCGUUCCUUAAGCCUAUGCAUGUUGUAGCUAUUUAAUAUCACAAAAAUCCCUGUCCUAAUUAAUCCUUUUAGUUAUAUCAUAUUUCUCAAACAUUUGGGUAUUUAGUUAACUUUAGUUAACCUAACAGUCAGAAGAAGAGCAUAUGCCUGCAUCCUAUGAGUGUGUUCCAUGAAAGAAGAGGAACCUAUUCAUGACAGUUAAAAGCUCCCCAUAGUCCCAUAAGCUAAUUAAAAUAAAAUAGAGUCACACUGGGCGCCUGGGUGGCUCAGUCGUUAAGCGUCUGCCUCGGCUCAGGUCAUGAUCCCAGGGUCCCGGGAUCGAGUCCCACAUCGGGCUCCCUGCUCCGCGGGGAGCCUGCUUCUCCCUCUCCCACUCCCCCUGCUUGUGUUCCCUCUCUCACUGUCUCUCUCUCUGUUGAAAAAUAAAUAAAAUCUUAAAAAAAAAAAAAAAAGAAAUAGAGUCACACUUAGUAGCAAUAACAGAUUAAUAUUUGAUUGAAAAUAACUUUUUAGGGGUGCCUGGGUGGCUCUGUCACUUAAGACUCUGACUCUUGGUUUCGGCUCAGGUCAUGAUCUCAGGGUUACGGGAUUGAGACUCCCACCUUGGGCUUCACACUCACUGGGGACUCUGUUUGAGAUUCUCUCCAUCGGCCCCUCCCCCCACUUGUGAUCUCUCUCUCUCAAAUAAAUAAAUACAAUCUUUUUUUUUUUAAGAUUUUAUUUAUUUAUUUGACAGAGAGAGACACCGUGAGAGAGGGAACACAAGCAGGGGGAGUGGGAGAGGGAGAAGCAGGCUUCCUGCCGAGCAGGGAGCCCGAUGCGGGGCUCGAUCCCAGGACCCCAGGAUCAUGACCUGAGCCGAAGGCAGCCGCUUAACGACUGAGCCACCCAGGCGCCCCUAAAUAAAUAAAAUCUUAAAAAAAAUAAAAAUAAAAAAUAAAAUAACUACUUCUAAAUUGCAUUUUCUAUGUUUCCACAGCCCAUCGGAAAUCAUUUUUAUUCCAAAAUUUAGUAAUGUGAAAUGUUAGUUUUUCUACUGCUUCUAUAAAAAUUAUCAAAAAUGUAGUGGUUUAACACAAUGCAAAAUUUUUGUUUUGUUUUGUUUUGUUUUGUUUUUUUACAAUGCAAAAUUUUUAUCUUAUAGUUCUGUAGGUCAGAAGUCCAGCACAGGUCUCACCAGGCUAAAAUCAAAGUUUCCUCCUUUACAUUCUUUUCUCUUGGUUCUAGGGGAGUUUCCACUUCCUUGCUCAUUCAGGUGUACAGAAUUCAAUUCCAUGUGGUUGAAGGACUGAGGCCCCAUUUUCUUCUUGGCUGUAAACUGAGGGCCACUCUUGACUUUUAGAGGCCACUAUAUUCUUUGGCUCAUGGCCCUCUUCCUCUAUCUUAAAAACCAGCAGUGGUGGGUGAAGUCUUUGUUGCUCCUAUCUCUGAUCACAGCUGGAAAAUUUCUGACUAGAUUGGGUCCACCUGGCUUACCCAAGGUAAUCUGGAUGAAUAAUCUCCCAAACUCAAUCACAUCUGCAAAUUCCCUUUUGCUAUGUGAGGCAACAUAGUUACAAGUUCCAGAGAUUAGGAUGUAGUUAUCUUUGAGGGUAAAGGUGGGGGCAUUAUUCUGCCUACCACACAUAAAGAAGCACAUGGGUGGGGGCACAGAAUAAUGCCUAGGAGAGAACUGUACCUUAUGCAUUUUUUUUUUUCAGUAAAAUCUCCUCCCAAACAUUUUCCCUAUAGAUGAUUUAUAGCUCUUCAAAUUGCAUGCUUACUGAUUUACAGUUCAUAACUAAAGCCAAUUGAAGAAAACCUUCACCAUGAAGUAUGGCUUAUUGGAAAUGUUUUCUGUUGUUAGAGGUUCUGUUGGCCUCUCCUUAUUGGGACACUGUAUCAACCAGCAUAAAGAGCCUCCUGGCUUCUGGACUUCAUGGCCUGAACUUCAGAUCCUACAAACUGCCUCAGAUGUUUAAGGUGAACUAGAGCCAGUCUCCAGAAGUACAUAGCUUGACUGGAGACUCUACUCCAAACCUUGGAGUAGCCUACCAGUGGAAUGGGCUAGUUCCAGGCUUCUCUAAGGGGCUCAAAGUUACUUUUAGGUAGCUUCCAAUGAAGAUCUGAUUUAAUCUAGAUAUUUCAAAGUCAGACUUACUGGUGGUCAUUUUUCACUUCAGUCUGGACCAUUGAUUUAUGUUCCUGGACUAUUGUAGUAACCUUCUCACUCAGCUCCCACUUCCAGUCUCUCCACUGCAAUCCCUCCUCCAUGUUAUCAGGACAGAGGAGAUUCUCAACUUUUUUAUUUGUCCUAACAUACUCGAGGAAUACAAUACAUUUCCCAUAGUAAGUGCCUCAUAAUGGUACUUCUUUUCAACACAAAGUUCUAUUAAGUUUAUAAAAGAAUCUCAGACCAUUCUGGACCCCCAAAGGUGGACCAAGUGAUUCUGCAAUCUCCCUUUUACUCACUUUUAGGGGGCAUGUGAUUAUAAUGAUAAAAAACCUUGUUAUCAUUGUUCUAACACUUAUCUGCUGCUUACUAUGUGCCAGAUAUUGUCCUAAGUACUUUAUAUAUGCUAUAACUUAUUUAAUCUUCAUAUCAACCCCUGAGGUAAGUUCUAUUGUUAAACCAGUUGUAUAGAUGAGGGAAAUGAGAUUAAGUGACUUGCUCACAGUCAUACAGCUAAUAAGUGACAGAGCUGUGAUUUGAACUCAGAUUCCGCACUUUCAACUACUAAGUCAAACUAUAUCCCAGCACCUUCUGUUUUGCUAAAACAUAAAUAUUGUCGCACUUCUACCUUUCAAAACAUUCAGUCUAAAAUGCUAGCAUAGCUUUCAAAGCUCUUGGUAAUCUACCUCUAUCCCCAAUAUUGAGCCUGUUUUGUUCUAGUAUCCAUCUCCUUCUUAAUUUUUCCUCCUUUUAUGAAUUACUGAGACAGGGAUGUUAAAACCUUCCAAUAUACCUAAAUCAAGCUAUUUUAAAAAAGAAAAAGAAGACAUUCUAGUAUCCCAUCACAUUUGCUUCCCCUCAAUAAAACAUGCAUUAAGUGGCUAUUUGAGCUAGGCUAUGUUAGGUAGAAAGAAUGUAAAGAUCCUACAAACUGUAAGGAAAUAAAGAAAUGAUUAUAAUAAAUAAGGGAGGGAAUUAACUUAUCUAGCUUUUAUGGGUCAAGCACUAUUCCAUUACACACAUUUUAUUGACCCCCUCCCCAGCACUGUAGAUAGUCCUCUCCUUGUUUGACAGAUGUAGAAACGACAGUCCACAAAGUGGUUAAUUAUUUGAACCAAGGAUAUACAGCUGGGAUAGCAGUGAUAUAACUGGGAUUCAGAGUCAGGUCUGUCUGACUCCAAAGCUCAAGGUCUCUCAACUAUGCCAGUUGUUUUCAAAUUGUUUCUUUCCUGUCAAGAGUCUUAUUAUUGAAAUGCAAAUAAGCCAAAUAGAUCAACGCUGAGAUGAAAAUAAACCAAGUAGAUAAAAGCAGAACUGCUCGGAUUAAUCAGAGUAUGAAGCCUAGAGCUCCUUCCCUCCUGAAUUCCUGGGUCUGCAGUGAAGAGGCACCACAGAACUCAAUUCGAAAACCAGUGCAUGGUACAAAGAAGCUGUUCUCUGGCUGAAUCUUUAAACGGUGUUCAAAAUGCAAUAGUGUAAGGGGUGCAACAUACUUUGGGAACAAAAAGAAAGAAACCAGGACUGAACUUUAUAAGAGAAAAGGAAUUGUCAUAGGAAAGGUUCCAUUUGAGCUGAACCUUAAGAAUGGGUGGGCAUGUGAUGUAAUGAGCUCUGGGUAUUAUAUGCAACUGAUGAAUCACUGAACUCUACCUCUGAAACUAAUAAUACACUAUGUGUUAAUUAAUUGAAUUUAAAUUUUAAAAAAGAAUAAAAAAUAUAAUGGAAAAAUAUUUUUAUAGAAAAUGAGUUAAAGUUAAAACUGUCUUUUGAAUUACUAAAAAAAAAAAAAAAAAGAAUGGCUGGGAGUUUUCCAGCAGGAGAGUGAAGUAAGGACUCUUAAGGCAGACGUAAAAGUGUAGCUACCCUAAACAUGUAGCUUGGCAUUGUCAUACUACAUUGCCUUUAACAAACAACAUGGACCCUUGCUGCCUGGACAGUGUAGUGUGGUGCAGACUAGACUGGAAGACAGGAGACUGAAUGAAACAUACCGGGCUUACUACUUCAAUGCCUCGCUUUGUCUUUUCACCUGUAGAUCAAGGGGAUUUCACGAGUAACUGUCAAAGACUCCUUCAAGCUGUAGAAACAUCAUUCUGUAGUUCAUGAACAAAAUCUUUUCCAUUAUCUUACAUACAAAUACAUGAGGAAAAACUAUAUUUUACAAGUGUCAUGGUUAAGAGCCUCCUUCCUCAAAAAGGAAAAGAAGAAUGAGAAUAGCUUCCAUGUAUAAAAUACCUAAUGUAUAAAAUAAGAUUGUCAUGUAGGCAGUUUUAGGCACAUGACUCAGAUUGUCCCAUGUAUCCUCACAACAAUUCCUUGAAGUAGAAUCAUUAUUCUGUUUUAAAAAUGAGCAAAUGGAGAUAGAAUGAAAGCCACUGCCCAGGUCAUAUGACUAAGGGCAGAGCCAGAACUCCAUCCUAAGUCUUGCUUUUCCAGCCACGCUCUUCUCCCCACUUGCAGUGUAAAACCCUCAGCUGCUUUGUGAGGAGAGCUUGGAACUGCCCUGAGAUCAACACCCGGUCCUCUUCUAUCAGUAGUUACUAAAUACGGCUAAUGAUGAAAUCUUCUGGGGACCCAAAUGUUCAUCAGUGGACCAAUGGAUAAACAAAAUGUGGUAUCUCCAUGCAAUGGGAUAUUAUUUGGCCAAUAAAGGAAUGGAGUACUAGUACAUGCUACAUCUUGGAUGGACCUUAUAAACAUUACACUAAGGGAAAGAAGCCAGUCACACAAAAUCAUAUAUUAUAUAAUUCUAUUCAUAUGAAAGUCCAGAUUAAGGAAAUCUGUAGAAUCAGAAAUGGUGUCUUAGAUCUGAAGGUGGGAUGGGGGGAAUAGUAGGAUAGUAGCUAAAGAGUAUGGGGUUCUCUGUGAGGUGAUAAAAAUGGUCUAAGAUUGACAAUGGUGAGGACUACAUAUAUGUGUGAAUAUAAUAAAAACCACUGAAUUGUAUUCUUUUUUUUUUUAAAGAUUUUAUUUAUUUAUUUGACAGAGAGAGACACAGCGAGAGAGGGAACACAAGCAAGGGGAGUGGGAGAGGGAGAAGCAGGCUCCCCGCAGAGCAGGGAGCCCGAUGCGGCACUCGAUCCCAGGACCCUGGGAUCAUGACCUGAGCUGAAGGCAGUCGCUUAACCAACUGAGCCACCCAGGCGCCCUGAAUUGUAUUCUUUAUAAGGAUGAAUUGUAUGGUAUGCAAAUUAUAUCUCCAUAAAGCUGUUUUUAAAAAUCCUCUGGGGUGUGCCUGGGUCGCUCAGUCAGUUAAGUGUUUGCCUUCAGCUCAGGUCACGAUGUCAGGGUCCUGGGAUCGAGACCUACGUUGGGCUCCCUGCUUAGUGGGGAGUCUGCUUCUCCCUUUCCCUCUGUGCUCUCUCUCCUUCUCUCUCUCAAAUAAAUAAAUAAGUAAUCUUUAAAAAAAAGUCCUCUGGGAAACAUUUAAAAAAAAAUCUGAUUCCCAACUUUUGCCUCCCCACAACCGCCAUGUCAACCUCCACCUCUUAAGAUUCCAAUUUAAUAAGCCUGAGUUGGUUCUCUGGAAAUAGGUAUUUUGUCAAAGGUGCCUUGAGUGAUUCUGAUGACAAUCUAGAUCUGAAUAUAUCACUGCUUUAGACAGCCAAACAGUAGACCUGGCUCUUUAUAACCAACAUGAUUUUCACGGUGGCUGGUGGAAGACCAAGUAGCUCAGAGUAGGUCACAGUCCCUGAAUACCAAGAUCACAAAGUUUGCUCGGGCAUUGUUGGUCUAAGAGCAAAGUAACAUUCAAUAAAAUCUGGAAGAAUGCUGUUUUACCAAAACACCCUAAUAUUCUUAUAUGGCAAGUUUGUUUUUCCUUACAAUUUUGGUGAUCCUCUUUUCUCCAAAAGUUCUUCCUCAGUCGCUUUCUUUUUUCCCUUAAGAUAGCAAUAGCAAUGUGUUUAUAAUGGAGUACUCUGUUUCUGAGGGGAGGAAGUGAAGAGUGAAAGAUUUACUUAAUAUAGAGAAAACAUAUUAAUAUCAUGAGAAAGAAGUAUAGUAAGAAGUAAUGGACAGAAGUUUAGUGUCUGAAAUUUUAUAUUUUAAUGAUAGUUUAGCUGAAUGAGCAGAAAAUACAUUUGAGGAAUUGACAGGAAAACUGGAAGGGGCUGCAAUAAAUAAGCUCCUAAUUAAUGUUUCACCAUAUUUCAUGAAUUUAAAUUUUUAGCCAGGUGCAUUUCUGGGGGGGAGGUUCUAUUCAAAUUGGGACUUUGAAAAGAAGACUACAUUUUAUUAUUCUAAAAUUACAGAUGCAUUUCAGUUUCUUUAGAAUAUGAUAUGCUUUUGCUGACUAAAUAGCAUUACCUCUUAGUAGAGGCCCAAUGCUAUAAUUUGACCCCUCUGGCAAAUUAAAUACAAUUAUGCAAACUACUAGGAUUUGGGUAUAAUCUAAUUAAUAUGGUACAUAUGAAGCAGAUAGUAAUUUCCCUGGUUGAAACUAAAUUGUCUUCUUUCACAUUUGAACUAUGUUUUAGAAAAACAUUGAUUUAUGUAAGCAAGACUUCAUUAUCUUGUGUAUUCUAUUUGCUCAGCUCCGUGAUGGACAUGUUUAGAAAAAUAAAGCCAAAAUUGGAAUCUUCAAAUGAUGACCUUUUUUCCCCCAGAUAUUUAUAAUUACCAAACAGAAUAUUACAUGGAACUAGGAAAAGAAUUCAUUUUGAGUUGAUUGCUUUUCUCUAGUGAAGUGUAAGUGGAACAUUACUAUAAUUUUUUCUCUUUGUAUAUCUAAAAUUAGGGUUAAAUAUGAUUUAAUGGAAAUAAUCCUGUUCAUUGAAACACAAAUUUUUAGGAGUUGAAAUUGAUCUGGACUAAGUGCCUACUAAUAAUCCAGUCACAAACUUUCUGAAUGAUAUUUAUAAUCAUGAGAUACAGCAUACUAUGUUUAAAAUAUGUGAAUCACAUUAGCAUUAAUCAGUACUACAUGUGUGCACUAAGCAGAAAUCAGGAAAGAUUUGCUUUUGUGCUCUUUACCAAGAAAACUAAAGAAAUUAUCCCUCCCAUUUGGAGAAAACAGAUGCUUUUUUCUUUUUCUUUUUUCUUCCUACAAAAGUGAAUUUCACGUGUAAGAGGAGUUCUGGCUUAAUAGCAUUGAAUAUGAGUCUUUUAUACAAAGGAAAUGUACAGGGUGUACCAAGGCUUCUUGUGUGGAAUUGUCAUUUCCAAGUGUGUGAACACAGUCUUUGCUCAUUUGUUCCUUAGCUUCUUGGGGAGACUGCCAACAAGCAUGCCAACUCUCAAGCUGCAUUGUGCAACGAUUUCUAGCCCACAAAGAUCUGGAUUUUUUUUCAUAGGUAAUGUCAAUGUCAUAAAGGCCCCUAAACAGCUGUUGGGGGGGAACAACUUUUAGAAAGCAGUGGCCUGUGUUAGUUCUUUGUUCUGUGUUAGCAGAGAAAUGCUCAGUUUAGUGGGUGAAGAGGAAAACAGUUCUGUUAAGAAUUCGAAUACUUUUAUAAUUUGCUUGUAAACCUGUAAUGACAAGUACAUUCCCAAGAAAUAAAGAAAUAUUAGCGGCCUCUGUGUUGUGAGUAUGUGUAAAGGAGCUAAUAAAUAAACACA